UACGAAGGGGGCUAGGCGUUGUUCGGAAUUACUGGGCGUAAAGCGCGCGCAGGCGGUCUUCCAAGUCAGUGGUGAAAGCCCGGAGCUCAACUCCGGAACUGCCAUUGAAACUGUUGGACUUGAGUACGAGAGAGGUGAGUGGAAUUCCCAGUGUAGAGGUGAAAUUCGUAGAUAUUGGGAAGAACACCGGUGGCGAAGGCGGCUCACUGGCUCGUAACUGACGCUCAGGCGCGACAGCGUGGGGAUCAAACAGG
rnacentral:rRNA from 1 species